rnacentral:tRNA from 1 species
GGCCAGAUGGUCUAGUGGUAUGAUUCUCGCUUAGGGUGCGAGAGGUCCCGGGAUCGAUCCCCGGUCUGGCCC